GACGAACGCUGGCGGCGUGCUUAACACAUGCAAGUCGAACGGAAAGGCCCUGCUUUUGUGGGGUGCUCGAGUGGCGAACGGGUGAGUAACACGUGAGUAACCUGCCCUUGACUUUGGGAUAACUUCAGGAAACUGGGGCUAAUACCGGAUAGGAGCUCCUGCUGCAUGGUGGGGGUUGGAAAGUUUCGGCGGUUGGGGAUGGACUCGCGGCUUAUCAGCUUGUUGGUGGGGUAGUGGCUUACCAAGUCUUUGACGGGUAGCCGGCCUGAGAGGGUGACCGGCCACAUUGGGACUGGGAUACGGCACAGACUCCUACGGGAGGCAGCAGUGGGGAAUAUUGCACAAUGGGCGGAAGCCGGAUGCAGCAACGCCGCGUGCGGGAGGACGGCCUUCGGGUUGUAAACCGCUUUCGCCUGUGACGAGGCGUGAGUGACGGUAAUGGGUAAAGAAGCACCGGCUAACUACGU
rnacentral:rRNA from 1 species